CCAUGGCAAAAGCUCUAUUAAGCAUAAUAAACAGAAGGAUCAGAAUUCUACAAAAGGCAAAGUAGCCACUUCCUAUCCCACAUUGAAUACCACAAUCUGUAUUCCAACAAUUAAACCAGGACUUGAAUCAAUGCUAGCUUAAAAAUUUAAUUUUCUCUGUGGCUUAUAUAUAAAUGGAUCAGAUAAAUAAAGGAGACCAGGAAAUUUCACCCCAAAAUAUGGCACCCUGGUAUGCUGAUUAUUUUAAAUUAAAGGCCCUUGGAGACUGGCAGAUACUAG